rnacentral:tRNA from 1 species
GGAGGGGUGGCAGAGUGGUCGAAUGCGGCGGUCUUGAAAACCGUUGAAGCGCNAGCUUCCGGGGGUUCGAAUCCCUCCCCCUCCGCCA